rnacentral:rRNA from 1 species
AGUGAACGCUGGCGGUAGGCCUAACACAUGCAUGUCGAACGGCAGCACAGUAAGAGCUUGCUCUUACGGGUGGCGAGUGGCGGACGGGUGAGGAAUACAUCGGAAUCUACUUUUUCGUGGGGGAUAACGUAGGGAAACUUACGCUAAUACCGCAUACGACCUACGGGUGAAAGCAGGGGAUCUUCGGACCUUGCGCGAUUGAAUGAGCCGAUGUCGGAUUAGCUAGUUGGCGGGGUAAAGGCCCACCAAGGCGACGAUCCGUAGCUGGUCUGAGAGGAUGAUCAGCCACACUGAAACUGAGACACGGUCCAGACUCCUACGGGAGGCAGCAGUGGGGAAUAUUGGACAAUGGGCGCAAGCCUGAUCCAGCCAUACCGCGUGGGUGAAGAAGGCCUUCGGGUUGUAAAGCCCUUUUGUUGGGAAAGAAAAGCAGCAGGUUAAUACCCCGCUGUUCUGACGGUACCCAAAGAAUAAGCACCGGCUAACUUCGU